rnacentral:rRNA from 1 species
UACGUAGGGGGCAAGCGUUAUCCGGAUUUACUGGGUGUAAAGGGUGCGUAGGUGGUAUGGUAAGUCAGAAGUGAAAACCCGGGGCUCAACCCCGAGGAUUGCUUUUGAAACUAUCAGACUAGAGUACCGGAGAGGUAAGCGGAAUUCCUAGUGUAGCGGUGAAAUGCGUAGAUAUUAGGAGGAACACCAGUGGCGAAGGCGGCUUACUGGACGGUAACUGACACUGAGGCACGAAAGCGUGGGGAGCAAACAGG